UACAGAGGGUGCGAGCGUUGUCCGGAAUCACUGGGCGUAAAGGGCGCGUAGGUGGCGCGACAAGUCAGUGGUGAAAGCUCGACGCUCAACGUCGAGUCGGCCACUGAGACUGUUGGGCUUGAGCACUGUAGAGGCUAAUGGAAUUCCGGGUGUAGCGGUGGAAUGCGUAGAGAUCCGGAAGAACACCGGUGGCGAAGGCGGUUAGCUGGGGCAGUUGCUGACACUGAGGCGCGACAGCGUGGGGAGCAAACAGGG
rnacentral:rRNA from 1 species